GAGUUUGAUCCUGGCUCAGGACGAACGCUGGCGGCACGCCUAACACAUGCAAGUCGAACGGAGAUAUGAAGAUUUAUCGGAAUAUCUUAGCGGCGGACGGGUGAGUAACACGUGAGCAACCUGCCUUUGAGAGUGGAAUAGCUUCUGGAAACGGAUGGUAAUGCCUCAUAACAUACAAGAAUCGCAUGGUUUUUGUAUCAAAGAUUUAUCGCUCAAAGAUGGGCUCGCGUCUGAUUAGAUAGUUGGUGGGGUAACGGCUCACCAAGUCGACGAUCAGUAGCCGGACUGAGAGGUUGAACGGCCACAUUGGGACUGAGACACGGCCCAGACUCCUACGGGAGGCAGCAGUGGGGAAUAUUGCACAAUGGGGGAAACCCUGAUGCAGCGAUGCCGCGUGGAGGAAGAAGGUUUUCGGAUUGUAAACUCCCGUCUUAAAGGACGAAAAUGACGGUACUUUAGGAGGAAGCUCCGGCUAACUACGUGCCAGCAGCCGCGGUAAUACGUAGGGAGCGAGCGUUGUCCGGAAUUACUGGGUGUAAAGGGAGCGUAGGCGGGAUUUUAAGUCUGAUGUGAAAGCCCGGGGCUCAACCCCGGGACUGCAUUGGAAACUAUGUAACUAGAGUACC
rnacentral:rRNA from 1 species